ACACAAUGUGCAAAAAUGGGUUGGUUUUGCCUCUGUGAUUUCUUGAAGGAGAAGGUGCUUCGAAAACUAAUGAACAGCAUUCGUAUUGGCGGGCGAAUCUAAAUGGUAACAAUAAGGAGUAGGUCGAACGGUAAGGCUGGCUAUAAGGCUCUAAAUGAAUGGUAACAAUAAGGAGUAGGUCGAACGGUAAAAGGCUAUAAGGCUCUAUAUAGAGAAGAAGGAGUCGCUUAGCUAGCACUGCCUCGAUACCUUCCUUCGGCUUUCUCUUGAUAUUCGAAUCCGAUAACUAUCAAAAGCAAUGGCCAAAGACUAGCUUAAGUACAGAACUCAACUUGCUAUAAUCGAAUUCUGUUCAAAUAAGUAAUCGAAGGCAGGCCAUUCAAAAGGGUAUCGACGGUAGAGAGAGCGAGACCACUUUCAUUAUCGCAAAAUCCCCCAUAGUCAACAAACCACUUUCUCCUUAAUAUUGGAUAGC
rnacentral:lncRNA from 1 species